rnacentral:rRNA from 1 species
AUUGAACGCUGGCGGCAUGCUUUACACAUGCAAGUCGAACGGUAGCAGGCCGCAAGGUGCUGACGAGUGGCGAACGGGUGAGUAAUGCAUCGGAACGUGCCCAGUCGUGGGGGAUAACGCAGCGAAAGCUGCGCUAAUACCGCAUACGAUCUAUGGAUGAAAGCGGGGGACCGAAAGGCCUCGCGCGAUUGGAGCGGCCGAUGUCAGAUUAGGUAGUUGGUGGGGUAAAGGCUCACCAAGCCGACGAUCUGUAGCUGGUCUGAGAGGACGACCAGCCACACUGGGACUGAGACACGGCCCAGACUCCUACGGGAGGCAGCAGUGGGGAAUUUUGGACAAUGGGCGCAAGCCUGAUCCAGCAAUGCCGCGUGCAGGAAGAAGGCCUUCGGGUUGUAAACUGCUUUUGUACGGAGCGAAAAGGCUCCCUCUAAUACAGGGGGCUCAUGACGGUACCGUAAGAAUAAGCACCGGCUAACUACGUGCCAGCAGCCGCCGUAAUAC